GACGAACGCUGGCGGCGUGCCUAAUACAUGCAAGUUGAGCGCUGAAGGUUGGUACUUGUACCAACUGGAUGAGCAGCGAACGGGUGAGUAACGCGUGGGGAAUCUGCCUUUGAGCGGGGGACAACAUUUGGAAACGAAUGCUAAUACCGCAUAAAAACUUUAAACACAAGUUUUAAGUUUGAAAGAUGCAAUUGCAUCCCUCAAAGAUGAUCCCGCGUUGUAUUAGCUAGUUGGUGAGGUAAAGGCCCACCAAGGCGAUGAUACCUAGCCGACCUGAGAGGGUGGUCGGCCACCUUGGGACUGGGACACGGCCCCAACUCCUACGGGGGGCAGCCGUAGGGAAUCUUCGGCCAUGGACGAAAGUCUGACCGAGCAACGCCGCGUGAGUUAAGAAGGUUUUCGGAUCGUAAAACUCUGUUGGUAGGGAAGAACGUUGGUGAGAGUGGAAAGCGCAUCAAGUGACGGUAACUACCCAGAAAGCGACGGCUAACUACGUG
rnacentral:rRNA from 1 species